rnacentral:rRNA from 1 species
AGGAAUAUUGGUCAAUGGGCGUAAGCCUGAACCAGCCAAGUAGCGUGAGGGAAGACUGCCCUAUGGGUUGUAAACCUCUUUUGUGCGGGGAUAAAGUGUGGGACGUGUCCCAUAUUGCAGGUACCGCACGAAUAAGGACCGGCUAAUUCCGUGCCAGCAGCCGCGGUAAUACGGAAGGUCCGGGCGUUAUCCGGAUUUAUUGGGUUUAAAGGGAGCGCAGGCCGUCCUUUAAGCGUGCUGUGAAAUGCCGCGGCUCAACCGUGGCACUGCAGCGCGAACUGGAGGACUUGAGUACGCACGAGGUAGGCGGAAUUCGUGGUGUAGCGGUGAAAUGCUUAGAUAUCACGAAGAACUCCGAUUGCGAAGGCAGCUUACCGGAGCGCAACUGACGCUGAGGCUCGAAAGCGCGGGUAUCGAACAGGAUUAGAUACCCUGGUAGUCCGCGCGGUAAACGAUGGAUGCCCGCCGUUGGGAUUUGGAUUUCAGCGGCCAAGCGAAAGCGUUAAGCAUCCCACCUGGGGAGUACGCCGGCAACGGUGAAACUCAAAGGAAUUGACGGGGGCCCGCACAAGCGGAGGAACAUGUGGUUUAAUUCGAUGAUACGCGAGGAACCUUACCCGGGCUUGAAUUGCAGGAGAACGAUCCAGAGAUGGUGAGGCCCUUCGGGGCUCCUGUGAAGGUGCUGCAUGGUUGUCGUCAGCUCGUGCCGUGAGGUGUCGGCUCAAGUGCCAUAACGAGCGCAACCCCUGUCCAUAGUUGCCAUCAGGUCGUGCUGGGCACUCUGUGGAGACUGCCGCCGUAAGGUGUGAGGAAGGUGGGGAUGACGUCAAAUCAGCACGGCCCUUACGUCCGGGGCUACACACGUGUUACAAUGGGGCAUACAGCGAGUUGGAUGUGCGCAAGUACGUCCGGAUCAAUAAAGUGCCUCUCAGUUCGGACUGGGGUCUGCAACUCGACUCCGUGAAGCUGGAUUCGCUAGUAAUCGCGCAUCAGCCAUGGCGCGGUGAAUACGUUCCCG